rnacentral:rRNA from 1 species
CGCCUCUUGAUCCCCCAUAAGAGGUCCAGCCUGCCCAGUGACAUUGUUCAACGGCCGCGGUAUCCUAACCGUGCGAAGGUAGCGUAAUCACUUGUCCUUUAAAUGAGGACUAGUAUGAACGGCCCCACGAAAGCUAUACUGUCUCCUUUUCUUAAUCAGUUAAACUAAUCUUCCCGUGAAGAAGCGGGAAUUAACUUAUAAGACGAGAAGACCCUAUGGAGCUUUAAACAAUCGAAACAUUUGUAUUUAAAAUACUUUUCUUCCGAGACUAUACAUCCAACCCACCAUUUUGUUUCUUGUUUUAGGUUGGGGUGACCACGGAGAAAAAAUCAACCUCCUUGCUGAAAUUGAAGCUUCUUUAAGCAAAAAACCACAUUUUUAUGCAUCAACAAAUUGACUCCCAUUGACCCAAUUAAUUGACCAACGAACCAAGUUACCCUAGGGAUAACAGCGCAAUCCAUUUCAAGAGCUCUUAUCGACAAAUGGGUUUACGACCUCGAUGUUGGAUCAGGGCAUCCCAGUGGUGCAGCCCGCUACUAAUGGUUCGUUUGUUCAACGAUUAAAGCCCUA